GGGUCACAUCGCGUUGAAACACCGAUUCCCGUACGAUCACCGAAAUUAAGCAACGUCGAGCCGGUUCAGUACCGAGAUGGCUGAUCGCUUGUGAU